CCUACGGGUGGCUGCAGUGGGGAAUAUUGGACAAUGGGGGGAACCCUGAUCCAGCCAUGCCGCGUGUGUGAAGAAGGCCCUCGGGUUGUAAAGCACUUUCAGUGAGGAAGAACGCCUGGUGGUUAAUACCCAUCAGGUAAGACAUCACUCACAGAAGAAGCACCGGCUAACUCCGUGCCAGCAGCCGCGGUAAUACGGAGGGUGCGAGCGUUAAUCGGAAUUACUGGGCGUAAAGCGCGCGUAGGUGGCUUGAUAAGCCGGUUGUGAAAGCCCCGGGCUCAACCUGGGAACGGCAUCCGGAACUGUCAAGCUAGAGUGCAGGAGAGGAAGGUAGAAUUCCCGGUGUAGCGGUGAAAUGCGUAGAGAUCGGGAGGAAUACCAGUGGCGAAGGCGGCCUUCUGGACUGACACUGACACUGAGGUGCGAAAGCGUGGGUAGCAAACAGGAUUAGAUACCCGUGUAGUC
rnacentral:rRNA from 1 species